rnacentral:lncRNA from 10 species
GGAGGGGGCGUGGGCCCCCGCCCGGCGCCCGCGGGGCCGGAGCUGCCCGUGAUCCGCACCUAGCACCCGGCGCAAGGGCGUCCCCGCGAGGACGGCCGCUUCCCGCACCGCGGCGCCCGGGCGCGAAUCUCGGGAGCCAGCCUUGCAGUGGGGGCUUCUCGGCCCCCAGACUCCACGCUGCGCACGUUCCUCCCGCACGGGCCGUCCUCGCUGCACCCCACGGCCACGCCCUUCCUGCCGCCGGGCCGGCCCCGCGCUCCCGGCCCCGCGCUCCCGACCACACUGCAGCUUUGUCCGCAGUCCCGCGGCCGCACGCAGGGAACAGCCGUCCCGGAGCCCUGGGGACGUGCGCGCCUGCGAGUGGACCGUGAAUUCAGUUACCUUGUUCCCUGUUGCUAGUUUCUACGCUAAAUAAGAAGAAGAAGAAGAAAAAGCCAUCUUUAAUACUUAAGGUCCACGCUUCUCAUACAGUACUAGCAUUUAAUGGAUCUCGAAGACAAGGAAAAUGAAGUUAAUGCCCUGGAUGGUAAACCCUACUUUCAUUUACAUACUGUGUGGGCAGAUAGCCGGCUAGUACCCCCAGCCUGGGACUUUGUCCCUACUUUAAUAUAGUCCGUCUGUAAAAGUGCCGUGGAUUUCUAAAGACGGAUUUUGGGUCCCAGAUCCUCUACUCUGGAUUUUAAGUUUUAUACAUUUCCUCUGCAAUACUUCAGCUAAGGCAGCAAAAGCGGAGGUCUCCAUACAACGAAAGUUUGUGUAGAGUUUCAGUCUUGUUACUUAGUCACCAGUAUAUUGGGGUUUUCUAAUGAAACUUUUGAAGGGCAAAGUGUUUCCCUGGGCCUGAGAAGUUACCUGCAUUGAAUCAAAUAAACACAUGCCUGGGGCAAUCCUUGGAUCUUUCUUCAUUGUUGACCAAAUGGUUGAAAUACUAUCACACAGUUUAAAAUGCCUGUGGGAGCUUCAGAUACCUUCUCGGCACCUGAAUGGUGGUCACUCUUGUUUAUUCUUUGGAUAUUACCACUUUCUUUGACACUUGUGAUUUAUAUUAAAAAUAGUUCAUUACCUACCUUCCCACAGAGCCCCUCCCUAAGGGGUGAUCCACAUCUAAAAAUAAAAUACUCAUUAUGCAGUGAAUACAGGAUUCCAGCAGUGGUCUUGGGAAAAAUACAGAACAUACAACCAUGAAUUACAGGCUCGAAAACCAUCGAAAAAGGUUUCCACUAAGACCAUAAACCACAAAUGCCGAGGAGUCACCAGAUCCCCCAAAUUCAGCAGCCCCAUCAUUCACAGUGAUUUACAUGAAGUACGAAUCUGGCCAGAUUCAGAUGUUCAAUUUUGUAGCAUAUUCAACGAUUUCAGUAUUUUCUAACCUGCUUUAGACUUACCUAGUUUUCUUCGAAACUAGUGUCCAGUGAAAAGCUGGCCGGGCGCGGUGGCUCACGCCUGUAAACCCAGCACUCUGGGAGGCU